GGGCACCACCAGGAGUGGAGCCUGCGGCUUAAUUUGACUCAACACGGGAAAACUCACCCGGCCCGGACACUGUAAGGAUUGACAGACUGAGAGCUCUUUCUUUAAUUCAGUGGGUGGUGGUGCAUGGGCCGUUUCUUAGUUGGGUGGAGCGAUUUGUCUGGGUUAAUUCCGAUAACGAAACGAGACUCUUGGCCUAUUUAAAUAGACGAAGGUAUUCUUAAGUACCUCGCGCCUUCUUAGAGGGGACAGGCGGCGGUCUAGUCGCAUGAAGGAGAGCAAUAACAGGUCUGUGAUGCCCCUAGAUGUCCGGGGCUGGCACGCCGCUACACUGAAAGAAUCAGUGGCGUAUACUUACUCGAAGAGCCGGUACCAGUAUUCUUGCCUGGAAGGAUGAUUUUCCUAACAGAAUCCAUAGCGGCCAAGCUGUGACACUCUUGCUUGAACAGCGUGCUCACAGUGGAACUAAAGCUAGACAGUAAGGCUCACAGCUUGCUGGGAGUGGCAACUGCUCUAGGUUAU
rnacentral:rRNA from 1 species